CCUACGGGAGGCUGCAGUGAGGCAUAUUGGUCAAUGGGCGUAAGCCUGAACCAGCCAAGUCGCGUGAGGGAUGAAGGUUCUAUGGAUCGUAAACCUCUUUUAUAAGGGAAUAAAGUGUGGGACGUGUCCUAUUUUGUAUGUACCUUAUGAAUAAGGAUCGGCUAACUCCGUGCCAGCAGCCGCGGUAAUACGGAGGAUCCGAGCGUUAUCCGGCUUUAUUGGGUUUAAGGGGUGCGUAGGCGGCCUUUUAAGUCCGCGGUGAAAGUCUGUGGCUCAACCAUAGAAUUGCCGUUGAAACUGGUGGGUGUGAGUAUGUUGGAGGCAGGCGGAAUGCGUGGUGUAGCGGUGAAAUGCUUAGAUAUCACGCAGAACCCCGAUUGCGAAGGCAGCCUGCCAAGCCAUGACUGACGCUGAUGCACGAAAGCGUGGGGAUCAAACAGGAUUAGAUACCCCAGUAGUC
rnacentral:rRNA from 1 species